UGCAUAUCAUAUAUAAUUACUCAUUGAGGUAUGCACCUGAGGAUCUGAUAUACUUUAAACACAUUAUUCCUCAAAACUUUUUUAAAAGGGGAAAUAAUAGUCUUUUCAACAAAUAGUGCUGGUAGAACUGGAUAUCUAUAUGCAAAAGAAUGAAGUUGGACCUCAUCCUUAUACAAUAUACAAAAAUUAACUCAAAAUAUACCACAUAUCUAAAUGUAAGAACAAGACUCCCUAGCUGGUUUGGCUCAGUGGAUAGAGUGUUGGUCUGUGGACAGAAGGGUCCCAGGUUUGAUUCCAUUGUGGGCUUGAUCCCCAGUAGGGGGUGUGCAGGAGGCAGCCAACCAAUGAUUCUCUCUCAUCAUUGAUGUUUCUAUCUCUCUCUCCCUCUCCCUUUGUCUCUGAAAUCAAUAAAAAAAUAUUU